CUUUGAAGUUGUUUUUUUUUUUUUUUUUUUUGUAUAUUUGUACCGUCUGUCAUGCGAGCCUUAACAGACGGUGUUGCUUACUGUGUCGUGGUUUUUUGUUUUCCUGUGAAAUCGUAGAUGCUCCCUGAUGAGCGUUUGUUUUAGAGACUGAAGGUUUCCACGCGCUUUCCCCUCCAUUUAUCUGUAAAGUCAGUUGACCGUGUUAACUUGUUUUAAAACGUUGGUGGAGGAUGACUGAAAAAAAUGUUUGUAUAAUUGAAAUAGCUUUGUGAGCCUCUUUUGGAGCAGCUUUCAGGUGUUACCUCAAACAUUUAAAGCUCUAGAAUUAUUUUUUUCCCCAUUAUCAUUAUUGUUAUUAUUUACAUUCUAUGUUUCCUGGCAUUGGUUCCUGCAGCACCACACACACACAUGCACACUAAUCCUCAGAUUCAUCCUGUAAAUAAAACAGCAGUGGUCUCUGACCUGCUGUUGUUGUAUUUCACUGUAACUUUUCUCUGCUGACUGACAGUGGACGGACAUUAAACUGACAACUUUUACCAUCAGGUCUUUGGAACAAAGUAGUGCAGAAACGUUAUUUUGUUGGUAAUCUGUCCGACGCAUUGUGUGCAAUUUUUGUUUUUUUGUUGUUUUUGUAUUAACAGAUGUUGAGGAGAUCAGAGUGGAUGUAUUAAUGAAUCAACAAAGCGACUGACUCACAUCAUCCUUUCAUUUGUCAUCACUAAAACAAAUUCACACGUUCACACUCGUAUUUGUCAGAAUACAACCACAGACUGACCGCCGAGCUCCAGACUGUAGUCGCGUUCAAAGUGAAUAUUUGUACAUAACUAAUGAAUGUCUCGGUGUAAGUAGCUGUUUGUGUGAAACGGACCGACUGAAUGGAGCAGCCAGUAGUUUUUACUUUCGGCACCACAGUACGUUCAGACUGUACAAACUGAAUAUAUGUACAUAAUGUAAAUGAUGAGUAUCAGUUUUCAGAUCCCACUGUGUUGUUUGGCCACAUAUGUGCAGUGAGGAGAAGACCAAACGUACCACCAGAAACACCUCUGAGAAACGCUGUCCAAUCUGUGACGAGGACACAACACUGUCUUAUAAUUAAUCACAGUUUCUGAUGAUUUCAUUUUGUUUUUGUUGCAUGAUGUGCAUUCAUGCACGGUAACUUAAUCGAGUUAAUUCUGUCUCAGGGACUCUUUUACAGCCUGGUAGUGCAACAGCUGUGGUGUUAAUUCUCACCCGGAUAAAAAGGUUUUCUGAGGAAACU